rnacentral:lncRNA from 1 species
AGGACUAGUUUUUCCUUGCACUUGGCUUAUCCAAUAAACCAAUUGGACUUGAUCCAAUCAAGCCCAAACUAAAUCUAAUUAAAUCAUAUUUAAUUAUACUUAAUCUCAAUCUAUUGGCUUAAUCAAAUUAAGUCAAUUAACAAUCGAAUUGCUAAUCGAUCCUCCUGCAACACUUGCACUGGGUUAAAUGUCAAUCGUAUUGAUCAUUUAACCCUAGAACGAUUCUUAAUCAUUGAUCAACCAUCCAAUCGGAUCCUGAACACUAAUGUGUGUGAUCUCAUAGGUCCGAACCUAAGUCAGUAGUACAGGAAUAAAUUUUUAUACCAAUUGAAGUGACCAUCUAGCAAUGGUACCCGACGAUCGGAUAGGUCGAAUGUGUAGAACAACAUCCUUAGAACCCAUGCGGAUAUAGUUUUCAUAUAAUUCAUCCCUUUGACCAAAAUGAUCAUAGGACACCCCAGAGUUCAACUGUCAACUCUGAUCAGGUUGUCCAUAUUAUAUUUC